rnacentral:miRNA from 1 species
UGGAACAUGUAAAUAAGGGC